rnacentral:lncRNA from 1 species
ACAGAAAGCAACAAUAUUAAUAGUAGAGAGAUCUCGAUCAACAGGAAUGUACGGGGCAAUCCUCUCUAGCAAGGCAUACUUUAAAAUCAUCAUGCUUAUUGAAGUGCAUCUCUAGCAAUCAGGGGGAUGCUCGACAGUUGGAGAACUUUUGUUGAUAGCAGAUGAGUUUCUCCACUAUAUCUAACAGACCACUGCCGAAUUGAGA